rnacentral:rRNA from 1 species
CGCCUUGCCAGCCCGCUCAGAAACUUAAAGGAAUUGACGGGGGCCCGCACAAGCGGAGGAGCAUGUGGUUUAAUUCGAUGAUACGCGAGGAACCUUACCUGGGCUGAACGUAAGAUGACUGUAGGUGAAAGCUUACAUCUCUUCGGAGCAUUUUACGAGGUGCUGCAUGGUUGUCGUCAGCUCGUGCCGUGAGGUGUCGGGUUAAGUCCCAUAACGAGCGCAACCCCUACCUUUAGUUGCCAUCAGGUUAAGCUGGGGACUCUAAAGGAACUGCCUACGCAAGUAGUGAGGAAGGCGGGGAUGACGUCAAAUCAGCACGGCCCUUACGUCCAGGGCUACACACGUGCUACAAUGGCCGAUACAGAGGGCAGUUACCUGGUGACAGGAUGCAAAUCUCCAAAGUCGGUCUCAGUUCGGAUCGGAGUCUGCAACCCGACUCCGUGAAGUUGGAUUCGCUAGUAAUCGCGCAUCAGCCAUGGCGCGGUGAAUACGUUCCCGGGCCGUU